CUUGUCUGUCAUAUAUUGUGUGAGAUGAGGGCUGAAUGUUAUCUGAGUAGGAGGAGUUUAGCACACACAUUGUGAAAUGCAUUAAGAUUCAAUAUUUCACAAACCUCAUUGGAUUAACAGAUGUUUCUAUGUGUCUCCUGUUUAAACCUGAUUAUUGUGCCACUGCCAACAUGUUGAUUUUUUUAGUUGUAUUUCUAUCAUCAGCUCAAGGUUCUGGAGCAGCAGAAGUCAUCACACCAUUCAGUGAUUAUCAGUUUUCUGAUGAGGGUGAGAGUGUGACACUCUAUUGUAACUACACUGGUUCUGUUCGAGGUCUUCACUGGUAUCGUGAAUAUGCAGGUUCACCACCAAAUUUCCUCAUUAUGUAUUAUAAUGGGGCAGUUAUUAAAGCUGAUCCUCCAGUUGCUGGAGUCUCAAUCCAUCACAGAAAAGACAACAGUAGUGUGGAUCUGAAGAUCUCCUCUGCUGCUGUCACUGACUCCGCUCUGUACUACUGUGCUCUGGAGCCCACAGUGAAAGGAAAUCCACUGCAUGCUGUACAAAAAGCUGUUUAAA